UUCGUUUUGUUAUUUUGGGGUAUUAUGUGUAAAUUGAUGAGGAUUUAGUUUUAUUUAAACAAUUUUAGAAUAAGGCUGUAAUGUAACAAAAUGUGGGAAAAGUCAAGGGGUCUGAAUACUUCCGGAAUGCACUGUGUCAUACUCUGCUUCCACCGGGCAUUCCACUGAUUUUAAAACUCUGUCCUUCAGCAAGACUUAUGCAGUUCUUCGUAAUUUGUUUCAAAAUAGCAUAGUUAGAAAGGAUUACCUACACAUCCUGAGCAGCUCAUGUUAUAGACAGAAGCGUGCAACAUGGGUUCCUUUCUUCCUGUCUUUUUCAGUGUCUAAACCAACUAGGCUCGUAUUAACAAUUUUAUUAGUAUUUACAGAUGGCAUACAAGUUUGUUGUUGAGGCACAUGAAAGUUCACAUUUUCCAGAAGGCAUUUCUGCCAAAAAAUGCAUUAUGCAAAAUAAAAUAUUGUUUACAUUCAAAUGCCUCUCCUGUAGAGUAGCGACGCAAGACAUACGCUUAGUUUCCUGAAAUGAGUAACAGUUGUCAAAAGUACAGAGAUGUGAUCAAUGUAUUCGUUCAUACAAGCACAAAUGACUCCAUCAGGUCAGAUCUAAUCCUGCUUGCCCAGUUCUGGCACCCGUAUCCAGACAGAGGUUUGGUGUUUGCAGGGAUGGUACAGUAAAUGGGGGGCCACCUCGUCCCCCAAAAGCCUACGGGGGGCACCGCUGAGACAUUUAAAUGCCAAACACUUUUCGGAGGGGGAAAUUUGCCAGGAGUCCAUGGUUUGGAGGGAUGGAGUCACACGUCACACAUUCUGUGGCAUGUCACAGAUCACAUCAGGCCCCAUUAAUUGUAUGUCUUUUCUCAACAUCCUAUAUACAAUUGUAGGUUAAUGAUUUCUUAACAGAUUAUUUGGGCCUGACAUUUAUAGCAUGCUAAAUGGGGUUUAGUAUAUGACUAACAAUCAAAUGUAAAGACACAGAUAUGCAAUUUGGUUGUAUUAUCCCUGUAUCAUUGUUGAGAACAGAGCAUUUAUUUAUUAAUGUGAUCAGCAGAUUCUUUUAACUCUUCUGCAAGCUGCUCUGUGGAUGUUGUUGGUUCAUCAGAUUCUGAUGACACUGUUACUCUGACACAAAGUCCUAGCAGAAACAGGAGAGCAGAGGAAGAUAGUGCAGCCAAACAAGUCCCGCACGACAUGUGAAGGAAGCAUAUGCAAGAGGAAUAGUUUCCUUCUUUCCGUACCUGGCCGACCCCAAAAGCAAGACUGACUAUGCCGCAACAAGCCGGGAAAGAUGUCAGCAAGACACGCAGCUGAACAUCUUGUGAAGUUCAUGAAGGUAAUGGCUUCCUGAAGUUCUCCAAGCAGCUGAUUGGUCAGCCCCAUUGCUGAUUGGAGAGCUGACCCCGCCCCCUCGUCAGGACGCAGCUGUCUCAAUUAACAACCCCAAUAUAAGCCAGUGUGCUGUUGCUCAGAGAAAGAGAGAGACACAGAGAUUUUUGCUGAGAGAGGAGGUUGAUGGCAGAGGGUUAUAUAUAUAUAUAUA